rnacentral:lncRNA from 1 species
UGAAAGUGUCAAAUAUGGAACCUAAAAAAACCUGCCUUUGCCACUGACUGUAUAAAGGUUUUUUAAGGUCUGUUUGUCAAGCGUCAAGUCAGGUUAUCUUGGUACUGGUACCAUGUAGUACAUCCUGCUUAAGCAGGUUGUACGCCAUCCAUAUGAAAUUUGGGCAUCUGUUUGUAAAAUAUUGCUGCAAAUCUUUUUGAGAGAGCCAUUACUAUGGAGAACCAUCUAAACCAUACAAGUGUGGAAACAUGGAUGUAAAUCUAUAUUAAUGUGAAAUAAACUGAUGAGUUUAUUU